AACGAACGCUGGCGGCAUGCCUAACACAUGCAAGUCGAACGAGACCUUCGGGUCUAGUGGCGCACGGGUGCGUAACGCGUGGGAACCUGCCCUUAGGUUCGGAAUAACUCCCCGAAAGGGGAGCUAAUACCGGAUAAUGUCUUCGGACCAAAGAUUUAUCGCCUUUGGAUGGGCCCGCGUUGGAUUAGCUAGUUGGUAGGGUAAAAGCCUACCAAGGCGACGAUCCAUAGCUGGUCUGAGAGGAUGAUCAGCCACACUGGGACUGAGACACGGCCCAGACUCCUACGGGAGGCAGCAGUGGGGAAUAUUGGACAAUGGGCGAAAGCCUGAUCCAGCAAUGCCGCGUGAGUGAUGAAGGCCUUAGGGUUGUAAAGCUCUUUUACCCGGGAUGAUAAUGACAGUACCGGGAGAAUAAGCGCCGGCUAACUCCGUG
rnacentral:rRNA from 1 species